UAGCCAAUAUUUUAAUCCAAGAACAGCUUCAAACUGGUCAUAUUGAACCUACUCUUAGUCCUUGGAAGACUCCAGUUUCUCUGGUAAAGAAAAAAUCUGGCAAAUGGAGAUUAUUAUAAGAUCUUAGAGUGAUUACCAUACUAUGGAACCAAUGGGAGCCUUACAGCCUGGACUUCCUUCUUCUACAGCCAUCCUUCUUGAUUAUCAAUUAAUAGUAAGAGAUUUAAAAGAUUGUUUUUCAUUAACCAUUGCAGAUUAUUGUAAGAGAUUUGCUUUUAG
rnacentral:ncRNA from 1 species